rnacentral:rRNA from 1 species
GACGAACGCUGGCGGCGUGCUUAACACAUGCAAGUCGAACGAAGUGGCGAACGGGUGAGUAAUGCGUAAUCAACCUGCCCUUCAGAGGGGGACAACAGUUGGAAACGACUGCUAAUACCGCAUACUGAAGGAGGGGAUUGCGUCUGAUUGGCUCGUUGGAGGGGUAACGGCGCACCAAGGCGAUGAUCAGGAGCCGGUCUGAGAGGAGGAACGAGCAAAUUGGGACUGAGACACGGCCCAGACGCCGACGGGGUGGAGCAGUGGGGAAUCUUCCGCAAUGGACGAAAGUCUGGCGGAGCAACGCCGCGUGAGUGAUGACGGCCUUCGGGUUGUAAAGCUCUGUUAAGCGGGACGCGGUACCGGAAUAGAAAGCCACGGCUAACUACGUGCCAGCAGCCGCGGUAAUAC